rnacentral:lncRNA from 1 species
CCUUGACGGACUGUGCACGUUUGCUAUGUCUAGGCAGCCAAGGCAGGACGCACCAUUUACCGCCGGCUACGAGAGGUCACCAACCGCCCCGCACCGUUCCUGACGUCCGCACCCACGCCCCCCGCCCGCCUCCAGCGGUGCGCUCGCUCCUCGGGGCUUGACGUCAAGGCGGUCCAGGAGCAUGCGCAAUGCGGCCCCUCGGCAGGCCAGGUUCCGAGUGUGCGUCUUCGGGAAACUUAUGUGCGCUAGUCGGUUCGCUCGAUGCCUGGGCUUGUGGGUCGAAUUGAGGUGCCGGAGUCCGCUACUGCCUAGCGCGCCUGGCGGGAGCCGCCGGCGUUGGCCACCCGCCGCCUGGGUGUGUGCCCCAGUGACCACAGGUGCCCCGGCGUCAGUUCUGGAAGAAACCUGAGAGCAGGGUGGCUUGGGUCGUGGGAGCCAUGGUGAAGACGAACAGUGUCCCUGACGGAUAAACUUAUUGGAGUUCAUUGUACUAAUGGAAUUAAGAGAACAGGAUGUCUUAUAUGUAGGUACCUUAUUGAUGUUGAAGGCUGGGAUCCAGAUAUAGCAAUUCAAGCUUUUGGUGAGGCCCAGGAUCAUCAAAUAGAUGGAUGUGCAUGCUUGAAGAAUCUCAAAACUCGGCCCAUGAGAAGUAACCUUGGAGUGGAUGUCUAGGAUUCUGAUGAAGAUGCAAAUCCCCCAUCCAACUCAAUGGCAGAAUCCGGGGAUUGACCCCCAAAUGAAUACUUUCAUGGGUGAAAUUAACAAGAUUUUAGAUGAAUAUUUUAUGAAAGUUAUGAAGCAUAUUCUUGGAUAAUGGUAGGAGGGGGAAAAAACCCAUGGGACCUGGAAUCAGGAAAUUUGCCUUCAGACCUUAGCUGUGCCACUUAACGAAUUGUAUGUAAUCUAGAGCAAGUGACAUAACCUUUGCAGGCCACUGUUGUUUAAUUUGUAAAAUAAAGCAAUUGGACCAGACCAGUUAGGUUUUCUUAAGCUGUAUUCUAAGAACAUAUGAAACUAGUACUUCAUGAGAUAUUAUUAGUUUUACAGGAAUAAAAAGAGGUUUUCUUUAAGUCAAAUAAGUUUUGGGAACACAAACUGCUAUCACCAUGAAUAUUAGCUUAUGAAAAGCCCUUAGAAUUCCUGAAGCAAAGAAAUUCAUUCAAUUUUAUUAAACCCAGCAUUUCCCCAACUUAUUUCCACAGAACUCUUUUUUUCCCCUACAGAACAAAAAUUAAUACAAUAUUGGAUACUAAUGUUCUCCAAACUAUUUGGCAAAUAUUGAACUAGGUAACCUCUAUGAUCCCUUCAAAAUUUAAAAUGCUAUUAUUCUAAGUGAUAGAUUGUAUUUAUUC